GUGUCUAAAAAAGUGUUCAUGUAUGAAAAGACAGCUUUAACUUAGGAAAAAAACGUAGGUUUAAUAGGACAAGAAAACAGCGUUGCAUUAUUAGCAUCAAAGGUUCGUUUGGAGGUGAAGAUUGUCCCUCUGCGGUGACUGUCACCAGGAAGUAGACUGUCCGAGGAGCAGCCAGUGAUGGCAGAUGAGUCUCUGUUUGAGUUUCUCCACAUGGAGAUGGUGGCCUAUGUUUACAAGCAUCAAAAUGAGGACAACAGUAACCAGGAAAGGGGAAGCUCCUUGUCAACUUUGGAAGGCAUGGGUUUCCGAGUAGGACAAGGACUUAUUGAAAGGUUCACUAAAGAUACCCCGUCUUUCAAAGACGACUUGGACGCCAUGAAGUUUCUCUGUAAAGAUCUGUGGAUAAACCUCUUCAGGAAACAGAUUGAUAACCUGCGGACGAACCAUCAGGGUACCUAUGUGUUACAAGACAACAAAUUCAGUCUCCUGACACAGUUCUCCAACAGCAAGCAAUACAUGGAGGAAGCCCCUAAAUACCUGGCGUACACGUGUGGCAUGGUGAGAGGUGCCCUGUCAAACCUGGGCAUUGACAGCAUUGUGACUGCAGAGGUCUCUCUCAUGCCAGCCUGUAAAUUUCAAGUCGUGAUUCAGAGGUCCUAAAAGUGUGAUCAUGCCUAGAAAGUUGGUUUACUUUAAAAGAGCACCUUCAGCUUUUCUGAAGCCGAUGGCUCUCUUUUCUAGCUAGUUUUACUUUGCACACCAGUUAUAGGGGUGCAGCAGAAUCUGAGACGGUGUCAGUAGUGGCUGCAAGGGCGGCAGUGGUUUGCACAAGUCUGCAAGGUGUUUUAAAUUGUUCUGACCAUCUUGGCUCUCUGCAAAUUGUGUCUUUCCCCUCGUGACUGACAUCGAAUCACAACAAAGGGAUGCAUCUUUUAAACAUGUCUAUAGAGAUACUGUUUGCACAAUAGUAUGUGCUACAUUGUACAGGUGUUUUGCAUUUUUCUUUGUCCAGCCCUUGUAAAUUCAUGUUAAAAAUUAGUCUUAGAUAAGGAACCUAGAAAACUAAAAGCGCUGGCAACAGCCAUUGGAAAUAAUAAUUGGUUACACAAUGCGUUCCAGUAACCAUUUCAGAUUGUGGUGUAUUGUGAUCGCCACUUUCAAGCCUCAUUCUAGAAGCAUUGGACAGGCGUUCUAAUAUUCUGUUUUCAAAUGUAGACAGAUAUGAACGAAUUGGAACACGAUCAUAUAACAGAAUUUUAAUGUUUCAGAUAGCUAUAUCAUGCAAACACAUCCUCAGGGCCACGCCAUAAUGGUAUUUAGCACUGGUGCCUGCCACUGAAGACUGCAAUCAGCCACAAUCUGAAAAUGCUAAACAAAGCUUGCUAUCGAAACCUACUGGGGUCUGUUUUAAUGAUCUCAUAAGUGGGGGUUCUUUAUUUUCUCUGUUUUUCUUUAGAGAUGUUAAUAUAGAGAUAAAAAAAAAAAAAAAGUUUCAAUAAAUAAAACUGACUGAAUAAGAUGUUUUGCUACAGUUUAUAAAAUCUAUCGCUGUAUCUUUUUUUAAAGUUUAACAGUGGACCAUGUUGUGUGCAAUUAUUGGAAAAACUAUCGAACACCAUAACUAAAGUACAAUUAAUGUAAGGUGCAAUACUAUAGAGAAGCCCCAUCUGGUCCUCAGAUAUCAGCGUACCUCCAUUGCACUGUGCCAGACCAGGCAUUGAGGACAAUAUUGGGUGCGGACCAACAUGGAAGAGAGAGGCGCUUUAUUCCAUCAAAGACUUGAAAGUUAAUGCCAUCUGUUAGAAAUGCUUUUCGAGUGCACGAUGAUCUGGGGAGCGGUGAAAAUGGCCCUCCUGUUGAGACUAGGACGACAAGAAACAAUCCAGCCUUUUUUAAGAUAAAAAUUUAAAAAGAAUAGCAUUUCUGUGUAAGGUGCCAGGAUGUUUUAUAUACAGCAGAUAAUAAAUGCUAGUGAUGGCUUUAACCACUCUGAAUACAUUUGUACGCCAAGUGGGUUUUUUUAAAUGUGAGUUUAGCUAGCCAAAACAGUUUUUGAAAUAUUAAGCCAUUAGGUUUUUUGAACAUAUUUGAAAUUCUGUUUUUAUAGUAGGGAUUAUGUGUUCUAUUGUUUAAGCCGUUUGCUUAAUUGAUGAGAAGGUGUCUUUGUGUCUUGUUAAAAAAUACAUUAAAAUGUUAUAGUGAAAAAUGCAGGCAGUAUUUUUUUUUUUUAAGAGCGGGUUUCUUGUUAUAUCUGUAUGUGCCACCAGGGGGCAGUGUAACAUACUGGAAACAUAUGACUGCCAUAGAGUUACACAGGUCUUUGUUUUCUGAUAAUGCUGGUUGCCAAUAAUUGCAACAAUUACAAUUUUUUUUAUUUUAGGCAAGUGUUGUUGUUUCUGAAAGCUGCUUUUCUUAAACAAGAAACCUAACAAGGAAAGUAUUUUGUUAAUAGAAAGAUGCUAUGUGACGUUAAUGUGGUGUAGUUCUUAGUUCAUGGUGAAUUAUUGGUACUAACACAUGUAAUAUAUUAUUGGUAGGAAGGGGUAUGUUAUUGAUUUAAUUGUCUCCAUUGACUGGGGGUGGAAACAAACCCUAUUUUGAUUUUAUGAGCCAUUGGUUUGAAAAUCAAACAUUUUAAAGUGUAAGUAAGUGUCUUCUAGUGUCUGUCUGUAAAAAUAUGUGGUCGAUUUAAAUACAGUGUUUAUUUAGCCCGCAUAAAGGUUUCUUUUGAUAGAGUUUAUAUUUAACUAAUAUACUUGUACAGUGCUGAAGAAAGAAAAAAGGAAAGAAGUUUGCGAGGGAAAGCAGCCAACAGCAAAAACAAUAAGGGUUGUGAAGAAGUGUGUAUGCAUUGGUAAUUAGAAAUGGGAGGCACAGUGGGGUUAUUUACCAGCCUGAUACCCAGGUCAGUGCUCUUUCAAAUCACUUGCCGCUUAUGUGAUUUGGUUUGUUUGUUUUUAGAUAUAAAACUGCGUUUAGGAAUAAUUGAAUGUACAUUAUUUGCAAAGCAAUUGCUUUCCAUUAAAAGCAGGUCUUUGCAAUGAAUACAAUACAGAGCCUAAAUCAAGUAACAGAUGCGGGCCGGCGGGGGGGUCGUUCGUUUCAUUGCAUCACUGACCAGCUUUAAGUCCAGGGGCAAUUAUUGCUUCUGCCAAAUAAAGUCGGGUAGUUUAUUGAUUGUAUUGUGAAAACGACAGCGUGCAGAAGCAUGGGAAUGCAAGCCAUUGCUCUGCUACCCAACAGCUGUUCGCAGAACUGUUUGCCUGCAAUGGGGGCUGGGCAGAUAGAGUUCAGUGACAAAGAAUAGGAGUUGUGCUGUUCAUAGGCAUUGCUCUCAGCCUCUGAGCUGUGUGAGAACCCCUCUCUGUCUAUUGUUGUGCAAAUAGAACUUCGGGUGGAAAACAGAGGAUGCACAGACAAUGUUUGUGCCUCUACAUAAAUACUUUUUUUUUUUUUUUACCCUGUUACCAAGAAAGCAAUCUGCUUGUCUUUUUUUGCAGUUCUUAAAAAGAGGUUCAUUCAGUUUCCAGUGGGUUUAGAGCAUUAUGCGCCCACGCUAAAAAGGACAUCUAUCGCUUUGAACGAACACUUGCUCAUGAAAACAACAUCGCAACAAAUAAAUUGCUGAAUUAAUUCUGAAGUCUUAAGCCGAUGUGAAGGAAUGGCAGGGUAUAUAUUUACUUUAUUAUCAUGACACAUUACCAACAUAUUACCUUAAGCCUAAAUCGUAAGCGUAUUACAAUUUGUACCAAAAUAGUAUAGUCAAGUUAUGGAUAGGCUGUUCGCUUAGGUUUUUUAUAUUUGCUACAG